AUCCCAACGUGUGGACAUUGCCUUAACAAUUCCUUUAAUCUUUCCCAAGCAUAAAAUAAAUACUCAACAUAUUCUUGCCUAAAUUAAGUGAUUUCAUUUCUCAUCUU